GGCGAUCUCUCUUUUGCAGCAAGUCCAUAGCAUUGCGAGCGAUGGAGACUUUGGGAGUGUUUUCUAAAAAAAAAUGCGAGGAAAAUAUGAAGGUGCUUUUAUGGAUGCGUGGAGAGCCACUUUGAAGAACGAAAAUCUUUCGAUAUGGUAAACAGGCACAAAUGAGAGAAAAUUGACUAUCCGAAUACAUGUAAAGUUAAACAUUCAAGGCUGGCAGAAGGUGUAGAUACGGCUAUCACAAAGAACUAUGUAACUGGAGUAGAUAUUAUGCAGAUGGAUAUGUUGUUACCCUGCUAUUAUACAAAGCGGUGGAAAUUACUGGCUUACAUUUGCCGCCGUUAGUGACAACAAUACUCUCCACUUUGGUGUUGUUUGUUCAUUGGGAGUACGUUACAAAUUUUAUUGUUCAAACAUAGUG
rnacentral:lncRNA from 13 species